rnacentral:rRNA from 1 species
AACGUAGGUGGCGAGCGUUAUCCGGAUUUACUGGGCGUAAAGGGUGUGCAGGCGGGUCAUUAAGUGGUGUAUGAAAUCGCCCCGGCUCAACCGGGCGAGGUUAUGCCAGACUGGUGGUCUAGAGAGCGAGAGAGGGACGUGGAAUUCCGGGUGUAGUGGUGAAAUGCGUAGAGAUCCGGAGGAACCCCCAGAGGCGAAAGG